GGAAGGUUGAGGUGUGAGGAAUGUUUGAGCCCGGGAAGUCGAGCCUAUAGUGAGUUGUGAUCGUGCCACUGCACUCCAGCCCAGGAGACAGAAUGAGACUUUGCCAAAAAAAAAAAAAAAGUAUAUUCCGAGACAGUAGCAAGUGCUAUCAUUGUAAACAAAAAAUUAAAAAAAAGAAAAAAUUGUUUCUAAGAGAGAUGUAAAUAAAUAAAUAAGAAAGAAAAGAAAUAGAUGGGAGACAGGACCCUGGAUGAUCUAGAGCCAGAACUCCUGGCAAUGCCUUUUCUCUGCCUCAGUGAUAUAUUUUACACUACCAAUCACCUGAGGUCAGGAGUUCAAGACCAGCCUGGCCAACAUGAUAAAACCCCGUCUCUACUAAAAAUACAAAAAAUUAGCCAGGCGUGGUGGCAGACGACUGUAAUUCAGCUACUUGGGAGGCUGAGGCAGGAGAACGGCUUGAACCCAGGCAGCGGAGGUUGCAGUGAGCCGAGAUCAUGUCAUUGCACUCCA
rnacentral:lncRNA from 1 species